UAGGGAAUCUUCCGCAAUGGACGCAAGUCUGACGGAGCAACGCCGCGUGUGUGAAGAAGGAUUUCGGUUCGUAAAACUCUGUUGUUAGAGAAAAACAGCGCAUAGAGUAACUGUUAUGCGUGUGACGGUAUCUAACCAGAAAGCCACGGCUAACUACGUGCCAGCAGCCGCGGUAAUACGUAGGUGGCAAGCGUUGUCCGGAUUUAUUGGGCGUAAAGCGAGCGCAGGCGGUCAAUUAAGUCUGAUGUGAAAGCCCCCGGCUCAACCGGGGAGGGUCAUUGGAAACUGGUUGACUUGAGUGCAGAAGAGGAGAGUGGAAUUCCAUGUGUAGCGGUGAAAUGCGUAGAUAUAUGGAGGAACACCAGUGGCGAAGGCGACUCUCUGGUCUGUAACUGACGCUGAGGCUCGAAAGCGUGGGUAGCAAACAGG
rnacentral:rRNA from 1 species